CGGCCGCGUCGACCGAACGCUGGCGGCGUGCCUAAUACAUGCAAGUCGAGCGGAACCUUUGGAGCUUGCUCCAUUGGUUUAGCGGCGGACGGGUGAGUAACACGUGGGCAACCUGCCCUGCAGAUCGGGAUAACUCCGGGAAACCGGUGCUAUACCGAAUAGUUUGCGGCCUCUCCUGAGGCUGCACGGAAAGACGGUUUCGGCUGUCACUGCAGGAUGGGCCCGCGGCGCAUUAGCUAGUUGGUGGGGUAAUGGCCCACCAAGGCGACGAUGCGUAGCCGACCUGAGAGGGUGAUCGGCCACACUGGGACUGAGACACGGCCCAGACUCCUACGGGAGGCAGCAGUAGGGAAUCUUCCGCAAUGGACGAAAGUCUGACGGAGCAACGCCGCGUGAGUGACGAAGGUUUUCGGAUCGUAAAACUCUGUUGUGAGGGAAGAACAAGUACCAAUUAACUACUGGUACCUUGACGGUACCUCACCAGAAAGCCACGGCUAACUACGUGCCAGCAGCCGCGGUAAUACGUAGGUGGCAAGCGUUGUCCGGUAA
rnacentral:rRNA from 1 species